GGCGGUUCUCAGGUGACGAACCCCGGAAUCGGGCUCCCUCCUCUCUGGUUCCGGGUGCAUUACCCAAGAACUGCA
rfam:Myotis lucifugus cont2.46934, whole genome shotgun sequence.